rnacentral:rRNA from 1 species
GAUGAACGCUGGCGGCGUGCCUAAUACAUGCAAGUCGAGCGAACAGACGAGGAGCUUGCUCCUCUGACGUUAGCGGCGGACGGGUGAGUAACACGUGGAUAACCUACCUAUAAGACUGGGAUAACUUCGGGAAACCGGAGCUAAUACCGGAUAAUAUAUUGAACCGCAUGGUUCAAUAGUGAAAGACGGUUUUGCUGUCACUUAUAGAUGGAUCCGCGCCGCAUUAGCUAGUUGGUAAGGUAACGGCUUACCAAGGCGACGAUGCGUAGCCGACCUGAGAGGGUGAUCGGCCACACUGGAACUGAGACACGGUCCAGACUCCUACGGUAGGCAGCAGUAGGGAAUCUUCCGCGAUGGGCGAAAGCCUGACGGAGCAACGCCGCGUGAGUGAUGAAGGUCUUCUGAUCGUAAAACUCUGUUAUUAGGGAAGAACAAAUGUGUAAGUAACUAUGCACGUCUUGACGGUACCUAAUCAGAAAGCCACGGCUAACUACGUG